UACGUAGGAUGCAAGCGUUGUCCGGAAUUAUUGGGCGUAAAGAGCGCGCAGGCGGUAUGACAAGUCAGAUGUGAAAGAGGCCGGCUUAACCGGCAAGGGCGAUUUGAAACUGUCAGACUAGAGUGCAGCAGAGGAUAGUGGAAUUCCCGGUGUAGUGGUGAAAUGCGUAGAUAUCGGGAGGAACACCAGUGGCGAAGGCGACGAUCUGGGCUGCAACUGACGCUGAGGCGCGAAGGCUAGGGUAGCAAACAGG
rnacentral:rRNA from 1 species